ACAAAAAUUAGAAAGUAUCACAGCUACUGUACUUGGUCAUGCAUUGUGCCUGGUUUUUGUAUUUUGGGAUGGAAUCAGAGUUUCAUUAUGUCUUACUGAACGAGAAAGUCAGAUUUCUUUAAUAUACAUGUCAGGCACACAUUGAAGCGUGCAUCAAAUGCGAUGGUUAGGCCACCCUCUAUCCACUUAAUAGAUGUUAAAAUAACCCCUGAGGGGGAGGUAGAAACAGUGCUACCAGUAACACCAGAUGAGGAGGUGAGUACUGCAAAAUAAAAUCAGACAAUGUGACAUUUUACUUGAAUGCAUGAUUACUAUUACUCUUUGCUCUAUUUUCUUUCAUGUUUGUUUCUCUUAAGUUUGAAAUGUGUUUUUUAAAUUAUGCUUUGUCUUACUUUCAGAUUAAUUUUUACUUCAGACAUUCCACAUUGAAUUCUAAAAGAAAUGUGAUGGUCAACCUGCAUGACAAGAAUGUAUUAUUUCCUUGUGUGGUCAAGAGACUUAUAUAUUUAAGAAGAUGUCCACCACAAGGAAGAAUCUUCCAGCCAAUUGAUUUACUUUACUAAUGCUGACAGCAAUGUUAAUCUGAUCAGGAAGCUUUGAAAGAUUGUCUCUUUUUAUGUUCAACUGCAAUAUAUGUGGGCAGAAACCUGAAAAUUUUAAAAAGUUGAAAUGGAGGAAAGAAAGGAUUUUGUAAUCCAUAUUUCUUUGAUGACUUGCAGUAGAACAACCA
rnacentral:misc_RNA from 1 species